rnacentral:rRNA from 1 species
UGCGGGGGGAGCAAGCGUUGUUCGGAUUUACUGGGCGUAAAGGGCGCGUAGGCGGUCGUGACAAGUCACUUGUGAAAUCUCCGGGCUUAACUCGGAACGGUCAAGUGAUACUGUCGGACUAGAGUACAGAAGGGGCAACUGGAAUUCUCGGUGUAGCGGUGAAAUGCGUAGAUAUCGAGAGGAACACCUGCGGCGAAGGCGGGUUGCUGGGCUGAUACUGACGCUGAGGCGCGAAAGCCAGGGGAGCGAACGGG